CUCAAAUCAGGUAGGAUUACCCGCUGAACUUAAGCAUAUCAAUAAGCGGAGGAAAAGAAACUAACAAGGAUUCCCCUAGUAACUGCGAGUGAAGCGGGAAAAGCUCAAAUUUAAAAUCUGGCGGUCUUUGGCCGUCCGAGUUGUAGUCUGGAGAAGUGCUUUCCGC
rnacentral:rRNA from 1 species